UCAAGUCAAGAUUUAAUUGUACUACUAUAAACACCCUGCCUCAGGGCCUUUGCUUUGUUGGCGCCUUGGUCUUAAAUACUCUCUUCCCAGAAGUCAGCAUGAUUCAUGAGCCCAACCUUUAAGUCCUCUGCUCAAAUUACACCUUCUCAAUGAAGCUUAACGUGUCCACCCUUUUGAAAACCACAACUCAUCUCCUCUACCCUACCCUCACAUUCCCAACCCCUCUUACUCUGCUCUGGGAAAUAAAGAGCAGAG